rnacentral:rRNA from 1 species
CCUACGGGUGGCAGCAGUGGGGAAUAUUGCACAAUGGGGGAAACCCUGAUGCAGCGACGCCGCGUGAGUGAAGAAGUAUUUCGGUAUGUAAAGCUCUAUCUGCAGGGAAGAUAAUGCCGGUACCUGAGUACGAAGCCCCGGCUAACUACGUGCCAGCAGCCGCGGUAAUACGUAGGGGGCCAGCGUUAUCCGGAUUUAUUGGGUUUAAAGGGUGCGUAGGCGGACUGUUAAGUCAGCGGUAAAAGCCCGGGGCUCAACCCCGGCGAGCCGUUGAAACUGGCUGUCUUGAGAUGUCGAGAGGUAUGCGGAAUGCGCGGUGUAGCGGUGAAAUGCUUAGAUAUUGCGCAGAACUCCGAUUGCGAAGGCAGCAUGCCGGCGGCGAUCUGACGCUGAGGCACGAAAGCGUGGGUAUCGAACAGGAUUAGAUACCCUUGUAGUC